rnacentral:rRNA from 1 species
GAUGAACGCAAGCGGCAGGCUUAAUACAUGCAAGUCGAACGGCAGCACGGGGGCAACCCUGGUGGCGAGUGGCGAACGGGUGAGUAAUACAUCGGAACGUGCCCAGUCGUGGGGGAUAACGUAGCGAAAGUUACGCUAAUACCGCAUACGAUCUACGGAUGAGAGCGGGGGAUCGCAAGACCUCGCGCGAUUGGAGCGGCCGAUGUCAGAUUAGGUAGUUGGUGGGGUAAAGGCCUACCAAGCCGACGAUCUGUAGCUGGUCUGAGAGGACGACCCGCCACACUGGGACUGAGACACGGCCCAGACUCCUACGGGAGGCAGCAGUGGGGAAUUUUGGACAAUGGGCGCAAGCCUGAUCCAGCCAUUCCGCGUGCAGGAUGAAGGCCUUCGGGUUGUAAACUGCUUUUGUACGGAGCGAAAAGGCUCUCUCUAAUACGGGGGGCUCAUGACGGUACCGUAAGAAUAAGCACCGGCUAACUACGUGCCAGCAGCCGCGGUAA